rnacentral:rRNA from 1 species
GUGUCAGCCGCCGCGGUAAUACGUAGGGUGCGAGCGUUAAUCGGAAUUACUGGGCGUAAAGCGUGCGCAGGCGGCUUUGCAAGACAGAUGUGAAAUCCCCGGGCUCAACCUGGGAACUGCAUUUGUGACUGCAAGGCUAGAGUACGGCAGAGGGGGAUGGAAUUCCGCGUGUAGCAGUGAAAUGCGUAGAUAUGCGGAGGAACACCAAUGGCGAAGGCAAUCCCCUGGGCCUGUACUGACGCUCAUGCACGAAAGCGUGGGGAGCAAACAGGAUUAGAAACCCCGGUAGUCC